UACGGGAGGCAGCAGUGAGGAAUUUUGCGCAAUGGGGGAAACCCUGACGCAGCAACGCCGCGUGAGUGAUGAAGGCUUUCGGGUCGUAAAGCUCUGUCAAGUGGGAAGAAACCACUUGGUGCUAAUAUCACCAGGUGCUGACGGUACCACUGAAGGAAGCACCGGCUAACUCCGUGCCAGCAGCCGCGGUA
rnacentral:rRNA from 1 species